GGCCCAAUGGUCUAGAGGUAAGAUACUUGCUUUGGGUUCUAUGAAUCAAUAUGCAAGGGAUCCUGGGUUCAAUUCCCAGUUGGGCCC